rnacentral:rRNA from 1 species
AGGUGCGAUCAUACCAGCCCUAAUGCACUGGAUCCCAUCAUCACUCCACAGUUAAGCGUGCUUGUGCAAGAAUAGUAAUAAGAUGGGCUUUGUUAUAGGACUUU